rnacentral:RNase_P_RNA from 1 species
GAGAGAUGGAGGGUGACCGACGGUAGCCAUAGGGCAGCUGAGGAAGUUCCCCUCUCCAAGGGCAAGAUGGACGGACGCAAGUCCGUGCGGCGAGAGCCGUGGCAAGGGCACAGAAACGACACGGACCGGGCUCAAGGAUGAUCCGCUAGGCGGUGACGUUCCCCGGGAUUCGGUGAAACGGCGACUCCCCAUCGGAGCAAGUCCGCACAGCGGGGCAGACCGGCCCGGGACCCGCGGGUAGGACGCUUAGUUGAAUGUCACCUGAAACAGAAAGGGGGCUACUACCAUCACUC